rnacentral:misc_RNA from 1 species
UAUUAAGUUAUCGUUUUACAUGAUUUUUUUUUUUCUUCUAUUAAUUUUUCUUUUGUAUUCUAGAGAUCUUCAAGGCAAGAAGUGGUUCCUUUAUUAUAUGCUGUUUUUUUUAUCCUUUUUUCUUAUAUUCAAUUAUUUUAUUAACUUUUUUUUAACUUUUGUACCGCGAUCAGACCUUUAGGGCGUAUCUUAUAAAGAAUGAUUUUUCAAAUCCAACUAUUAUACAAUAAGAAAAGUGACUCUCGACUAUAUCGGCAUUUGCUUUCUUUGUUUUCUCAUAAUUCGAUAUCAUUGUACAACUUGAUACGAUUAUGUCAACGGACAUUGUUGAUUGUUCUUCGACAUUGUUCCUAUUUCUUUAUCAUUUGGACUAAGCGUACGAUGAUUACGAUAAUGAUAAUAUUAAUAUUAAUAAUGAUAAUAAUAUCAACGUCCUUGGUAAUAUUUAAUUUUUAAAAACUGCUCAUCGCCUUUUAAUACAUAUAUAUUAUGCAUAAUAAUAUAUGCUUAUGCAUACAUAUAUACCUUAAUGUAUGUAGUAACUCUAAAACGUUGUCAAUCUAUUUGUCUAUCUAUCUAUCUAU